CUUUGACUUCCUGGUUCUGUUUCUCUUCUCUGAGGUUCCUGUUUUGGAUAAGCUCACGUCAGAAGGCGCACCUUGGGGAUGCUCUUCGAAGGACGGGGUCCAGCUGGCAAACCUCGGCGGCAGGAACGGGAACAGAUGUGAGGGAAACUUUGAUCUGCCUGGGAACCAAAUGUUGAUGUGGAGGAUGGAGGCCGUCUCUGCAGCAGGAUCGGAGAAAUGAGCAACGCAACUUCUGAUUGGCUGGAGGAGCUCCUGAUGGGUUAAAUAUGCACUUUAAGGUGUCGAUAACGGCGCCCAUUUUGGGAAUCCUUCUGCUUCACUUCUGCUUGUUUCGGUUCAUUUCCAUAAAGAACUCCGAGUUUCCUGAUAACUAUUUUUACCCGUCCGUGACGGAUGCGCUCGCUCGGAAAAACCACGGCCCUGGAUUUGGACGUGAGCUGGAUGGAUUCAAACGGGAACCAAAUGACAAGGAUCUGAAGGUGUUCGGCGCAGGAAUACCAAGUAGCGCGUGAGGAGCGCCGCCGCAGACUCUCCAUCAUGUAAACGGCAGCGCGGCUCCAUUCAGCCAUCAUUUAAACGUCAAAGCCGCCUCCGCUUCUAAUACACGUUUUUGAAAAAAAAUAAGGAAGGAGGCCUGGAUAUAAGCGGGAAAGUUAGAUGGGAGAGGAUGUGCUAAGAAAGGAACGAGGAAUGAUAAAAUCCAGGGUUGUCUCCUUUAGCUUGGAAAAGCAGCCAAAACCCAGGAGGCUGUUUUUGAAAGUGCAAACACAAACCCGGCGUUUAAUUACACCUUUUCAUUCCAGUGUGCAGAGGGGGGAGAAGAUGAUCGCUGAUGUGAAUUAUUAGCCUGCCGGUGUGUGACGGGUUCAUUGUGUCAUAAAGUGUUUAAACAAAGUCGCAAACGGCUCAUUUCUGGCCUAAACGAGAAACGCAGAGCG
rnacentral:lncRNA from 1 species